UUGCUAUUGGGAUUCGAUUUAGCCAUGCUAGUCGUACGAGUUCAUACUCGUGGCGAAUAGCUCAGUAACACGUGGCCAAACUACCCUUCGGACCACAAUACCCUCGGGAAACUGAGGCUAAUAGUGUACACCACAGUCCACCUGGAAUGAGGACUGUGCCAAACGCUCCGGCGCCGAAGGAUGUGGCUGCGGCCGAUUAGGUAGACGGUGGGGUAACGGCCCACCGUGCCAAUAAUCGGUACGGGUCAUGAGAGUGAGAACCCGGAGACGGAAUCUGAGACAAGAUUCCGGGCCCUACGGGGCGCAGCAGGCGCGAAACCUUUACACUGCACGACAGUGCGAUAAGGGAAUCCCAAGUGCACAGGCAUAGAGCCUGUGCUUUUGUACACCCUAGGGCGGUGUACGAAUAAGGGCUGGGCAAGACCGGUGCCAGCCGCCGCGGUAAUACCGGCAGCCCAAGUGAUGGCCGAUCUUAUUGGGCCUAAAGCGUCCGUAGCUGGCCGCACAAGUCCAUCGGGAAAUCCACCUGCCCAACAGGUGGACGCCCGGUGGAAACUGUGUGGCUUGGGACCGGAAGGCGCGACGGGUACGUCCGGGGUAGGAGUGAAAUCCCGUAAUCCUGGACGGACCGCCGAUGGCGAAAGCACGUCGCGAAAACGGAUCCGACAGUGAGGGACGAAAGCCAGGGUCUCGAACCGGAUUAGAUACCCGGGUAGUCCUGGCCGUAAACAAUGUCUGU
rnacentral:rRNA from 1 species